rnacentral:rRNA from 1 species
UACGUAGGGGGCUAGCGUUGUCCGGAAUCAUUGGGCGUAAAGAGCGUGUAGGCGGCCCGGUAAGUCCGCUGUAAAAGUCAAAGGCUCAACCUUUGAAUGUCAGUGGAUACUGCCGGGCUAGAGUCCGGAAGAGGAGAGUGGAAUUCCUGGUGGUAGCGGUGAAAUGCGCAGAGUAUCAGGAGGAACACCGGUGGCGAAGGCGGGUCUCUGGGCCGAUGACUGACGCUGGAGGAGCGAAAGCGUGGGGAGCGAACAGG